CAACCCUCAGGCCACGCCUGGCGUUGGGGCCCUGCGCGGCAGGCCCCGAAAGACAGCGGCGGGUGCGUCCCACGACCGAACGCAGUAGUUACUUCUCGUUCCGGGCGCGAGCGCAUGCCGGCCGUAAAACCCCCCAUUUUUACAA
rnacentral:misc_RNA from 1 species